rnacentral:rRNA from 1 species
AGAGUUUGAUCCUGGCUCAGAUUGAACGCUGGCGGCAGGCCUAACACAUGCAAGUCGAGCGGUAGAGAGAAGCUUGCUUCUCUUGAGAGCGGCGGACGGGUGAGUAAUGCCUAGGAAUCUGCCUGGUAGUGGGGGAUAACGUCCGGAAACGGACGCUAAUACCGCAUACGUCCUACGGGAGAAAGCAGGGGACCUUCGGGCCUUGCGCUAUCAGAUGAGCCUAGGUCGGAUUAGCUAGUUGGUGGGGUAAUGGCUCACCAAGGCGACGAUCCGUAACUGGUCUGAGAGGAUGAUCAGUCACACUGGAACUGAGACACGGUCCAGACUCCUACGGGAGGCAGCAGUGGGGAAUAUUGGACAAUGGGCGAAAGCCUGAUCCAGCCAUGCCGCGUGUGUGAAGAAGGUCUUCGGA